rnacentral:rRNA from 1 species
CCUACGGGAGGCAGCAGUGAGGAAUAUUGGUCAAUGUGCGCGAGCCUGAACCAGCCAAGUCGCGUGAGGGAAGACGGUCCUAUGGAUUGUAAACCUCUUUUGUCGGGGAGCAAAAGACGCCACGCGUGGCGUUCCGAGAGUACCCGACGAACAAGCAUCGGCUAACUCCGUGCCAGCAGCCGCGGGAAUCCGGAGGAUGCGAGCGUUAUCCGGAUUUAUUGGGUUAAAAGGGUGCGCAGGCGGAAGAUCAAGUCAGCGGUAAAAUUGAGAGGCUCAACCUCUUCGAGCCGUUGAAACUGGUGUUCUUGAGUGAGCGAGAAGUAUGCGGAAUGCGUGGUGUAGCGGUGAAAUGCAUAGAUAUCACGCAGAACUCCGAUUGCGAAGGCAGCAUACCGGCGCUCAACUGACGCUCAUGCACGAAAGUGUGGGUAUCGAACAGGAUUAGAUACCCGAGUAGUC